AGGGUGCAUCCAAACAGCUACGCGUCAUAUGAGGCCAUGAAAUCAAAAGUGGCAAAAAAGGAAGAGAAUAAAUUAUCAGAGCCUAAGCCAAAUUUCUUCUGUUUCCAAAGUUCAAGCCAGCUAAACAACACUAUGCGACUAUAUUAUCGCUGAAAUGCGUAUUCGAAACCUUAGUUAUGCUUAAAAAAACCAUUAAUUAAGUAAGUUAAUCAUACUAUAAAAGUUUUUGUAAGUUUAAAUAUGAACUGUUAAUUUAUUUUUAAAAAGUACCUAAUAAAAAAUUUAAACCAAAACCAUUAAUUAAGUUAAUCAUACUAUAAAAGUUUUUGUAAGUUUAAAUAUGAACUGUUAUUUUAUUUUUAAAAAGUACCGAAUAAAAAAUUU